AUGCCUUAAACUAAUGAGUAAGGAAAAUAAUGAGCUUGGGUGACGCCAGGCUCCACAGCAAAAUAUUGUCUGUGAAGAAUUUUUGAGGGGGGACAGGUCGCCCUAGGUGUGUCCCACCUACUUCAGUGGGAUGCCCUUGUUGAGUGAUCUACCCC